AUCCCGGCCAUCGAGCUUGAAUUGGCUUUUUAUGUAACCAUCUAAUGGAACUGGUUUUGACAGCGGCCCCAUGACAUCAGGACUGGUUACUAGUCCGUGUGGACAUAUGCAAAGUGGGUGUCGUUUGUGUGUGUGUGUGUGUGUGAAGACUCUUCAGGCCUUGUUUGGAUGUUGUCGGAUUCACCUCAAUCCACAUGUGUUGGAGUGUAUUGGGGUGAAAUUUAGUUCAAGUUUCACUCCAAUCCACUCCAAUACAUGUGGAUUGAUGCGAAUCCGACUACAUCCAAACAAGGCCUCAGGUGGUUUAUUAGAGCAGCGUUGCGCUGAACUUCAUGGAUGUCUCUGUACAGCGGCAGCGUGUUUAUAUAGUACAAAAAUGGAGAUAGGGUUAGCAGUUAGCAACUUAGCAUAGAAACUAGUGAGGUCCAAGUCCAAUCACCAUUUGUUAAUUACUUAAUUUGUUGUCUUAUUGGUCCUUCAUACUCACUGGAUCAUAUAUAUAACUUAGUUAUAUAUAGAUUUUAGAUCCAGCCGCCUCUAGAUAAAAAAUGUCCAAUUUGUAGAGGCGUUUGUUUUGGAAAGUAUUUUUAGAGGCAAUUUUAGAUUGAACUACUACCUCUAAAAAGGAUGUGUCUCUACAAGUGAGUUUUUUUAGAAUUUCUACAAAUCUUUUUUGUAUAGUAGAUGGUUUGGUGAAGCGGAUAUUAUAUAGAUCUAAUUUCUAAUAUUCUGAAUUCAAUGGAUCAUAUGGAAGGAAGUAGAUCAGUAGAAGAUCUAGUUAUUGUUAACGUUAAUGCAAAACUGAAUGUUCUCGAACCUUGAAAAACAGGCCAGCUUCUAACGUUGUUGACCAAGAUAGUAAAAUUGUAAUUCAGCCAUCUCGAGCCUAAUCUAGAGUGAAACCAGAACUAGCAAAGAAAAUUCAAAGCCUCCCGAAAAGAUCAGUCUACAUCUAGCUAGUACUCCUAUACUCGGGAGGGAACAACAAAAAUAGGAUUCGCAUGAUCGAUUGUGUUUAAAUCGGUCAGUAUACUAAAGCAAAGCCGAAGUUGUUAAAGCCAAAAACAAUACAUAAAACAUGAGAUACUGGUGUUUAUAAAAACAUAGAAGCCAAAUGCACAAUGCAUCAAAAGAAGAAGUCAAAGUUUAAUGGUAGGAAGCUUCCGGUUAAAUUGUCAACAAAAACCAAAGAAUAACCAAGAUAUAUACUAGUCAGUCUAACACAAAUCCAAACAUUCUAAAUGUACCAAGAAAAAAAGGUAACAAUAAACAUGCGGGCCCUUUCCUUUAUUUACUUCACGGUCUUAUUCUUUACUACAUAAUAAGGGGUGCAUCAGCAUGGCAUGCAUGCACACGCUACCACAAGUACAUGCGUACGUGUACAAUGCAUACAUAGUAGUAGGACCGUGCAGUCGUACGUGCACACACUCACACACGUACACAUACUACGUGAGAUGAUGCAUGCAUUCAGCCUUACGUAUAUAUAGCGCCCAGUGUGUCAGGCAGGGGCGCAGAGAGAGCCCUGACGAUGAUGGCAAUACGUGAUGAUGCGUGCUCAAGCGUAGUACUGGCCGGUGCACGAGUCGUAGCGCUUGCUCUCGCAGGCGUCGUACAGGCGGCGCCCACCGUGGCCAUGCCCGUGCACCUGGUGCUGCUCACGGUGUUCUUCCCCGAGCCCGAGGUAGCCACCAUGGCAUGAUCCCUCGUGCUCGGCAUGGACGACGUGGCGGUGCUGGUGGCCGCUGCCGCUGUGGCCGUGGCCGUAGUGAUGUCCUCUGCCGGCGCGCGCCAACUCGUCUACCUCCUCGUACUCCUUGCGGACGACGGCGUAGCGCUCGCCGCCGCCCUCACCGUGGCAGAACCCCGGCUCGGCGUACGGCCUCCUCGCCUCCUCCGCGCAGUAGCCGGACUCCGAGUAGUACGCCAUACUGCUGCUCUACUCAGUGGCUUUUGUUUGCUGAAACCUGACUGAUGCAGGAUAUACAUGGACAGGCCCCUGCUUU
rnacentral:lncRNA from 1 species